rnacentral:tRNA from 1 species
GGGGAUGUGGCUCAGCGGCAGAGCGCUCGCUUCGCACGUGUGAGGCCCUGGGUUCGAUCCUCGGCACCA